UUGAACGCUGGCGGCAUGCUUUAAACAUGCAAGUCGAACGGCAGCGCGGGCUUCGGCCUGGCGGCGAGGGGCGAACGGGGGGGUAAUACAGCGGAACGUGCCCAGUAGUGGGGGAGAGCUCGGCGAAAGCCGGAUUAAUACCGCAUACGACCUGAGGGUGAAAGCGGGGGAGCUUCGGACCUCGCGCUAUUGGUGCGGCCGAUGGCAGAUUAGCUAGUUGGUGGGGUAAAGGCCUACCAAGGCGACGAUCUGUAGCUGGCCUGAGAGGACGACCAGCCACACUGGGACUGAGACACGGCCCAUACUCCUACGGGAGGCAGCAGUGGGGAAUUUUGGACAAUGGGCGAAAGCCUGAUCCAGCAAUGCCGCGUGUGUGAUGAAGGCCUUCGGGUUGUAAAGCACUUUUGGCGGGAACGAAAAGGACUGUGCCAAUACCACGGUUCGAUGACGGUACCCGCAGAAUAAGCACCGGCUAACUACGUG
rnacentral:rRNA from 1 species